rnacentral:rRNA from 1 species
UAGGGAAUCUUCCACAAUGGACGCAAGUCUGAUGGAGCAACGCCGCGUGAGUGAAGAAGGUUUUCGGAUCGUAAAGCUCUGUUGUAAGAGAAGAACGAGUGUGAGAGUGGAAAGUUCACACUGUGACGGUAUCUUACCAGAAAGGGACGGCUAACUACGUGCCAGCAGCCGCGGUAAUACGUAGGUCCCGAGCGUUGUCCGGAUUUAUUGGGCGUAAAGCGAGCGCAGGCGGUUAGAUAAGUCUGAAGUUAAAGGCUGUGGCUUAACCAUAGUAGGCUUUGGAAACUGUUUAACUUGAGUGCAAGAGGGGAGAGUGGAAUUCCAUGUGUAGCGGUGAAAUGCGUAGAUAUAUGGAGGAACACCGGUGGCGAAAGCGGCUCUCUGGCUUGUAACUGACGCUGAGGCUCGAAAGCGUGGGGAGCAAACAGGAUUAGAUACCCUGGUAGUCCACGCCGUAAACGAUGAGUGCUAGGUGUUGGGUCCUUUCCGGGAUUCAGUGCCGCAGCUAACGCAUUAAGCACUCCGCCUGGGGAGUACGACCGCAAGGUUG